ensembl:lncRNA
CUGGUGAUCUUCAGGUCGGGCAGAGAGAGUGACUUCGCCUUAUUAAAGAAAGGGCUGGACAGCACCUUAGGGCCACAUUCUCAUCUGGGAGAAGAUUACAAGUUUCAGGUCCUAUUAGAUCAUCUAGAGCAUCCCAGCGCCCUACAGGUAGCCAAGCGCUACAUUCACGACCGCACUCCCUAUACUAGUGCAAUGAGGGCGCUAGAGCAGAGGUAUGGACAGCCAAGGCAGUUAGUCCAAAGUGAGCUUAGCACUAUAUUAAACUGCCCCCCUAUUAGAACCGGAGACUCUCAAGCUAUUGAAGACCUGUCCCUGUCUGUGUCCAGCCUGGUCGGGCUUCUCAGUACCAUGGAUGAAGUAGCAGCCAGUGAGCUCCAUUGUGGUUCACAUGUGGACAGACUGCUUACCAAGCUCCCCCUGCACUACAGAGACAGCUUCAUCGAGUACUGUAUCACCCGGGGGAUCAUCCGCACUGGCAGCAGCCGAACGUACAACAUGUACGACUUCUCAGAAUACGUUACCCAGGCUGGAACGGAAAUCCCAAGUCCUUCAGCUAUCCAGACAAGCCUCUCAAAUGCCCCCUGACAGGCCACGUCCAGAGAAGAACCUACUCAAAGCCUCAGCAGGGCUCAAGCCACACAACAAAUCUGCGUCCAUCUACUACGGCCCAAAUCCAGCCCAAGCCAAGCUAAAACAAGAGGGAGAAUCUACAGCUCCAGAUCCGACAGUCCAACCUAAGAAGAGACAGAAGUUCAAACCUUAUUGUCCAUACUGUGAAGGGACAGAGCAUUAUCUGAAUGGCUGUGAUGGAUUCAAAAGGCUAGACCUCAAAGCUAUGGCUACCUGGAUUACCGAGAAGGCCAAAUGCUGGCGCUGUGGCCGUAAACAUUCUCCAGAGCAGUGUACUCUGAAGAAGCCGUGCAGCACCUGUGGUGACCAGCAUUUGUCGGUGCUCCAUGACCUGGUUGAGGCCAAGAAGCGGGACCCUAACAUACUAACUGUGAGUACUAGUAUGGUUUACCUAGACUAUUCAAGUCACUCAGGUCGUGUUAUGCUUAAGGUAGUACCCAUCCAACUACAUCAUGGUGGCAAAUCUCUGGACACAUUUGCUGUGCUUGAUGACGGCUCAGAGAAGACUGUUGUGCUUCCUGCGGCAGUUAAAUCUCUAGGUUUGGAACAGGAGGAAGCAACACUCUCACUAAGAACUAUCCGUCGAGAUGUAAUCCAGAUGAAGGGAGGCUUUGUCUCAUUUCAGGUGUCACCAAGGGCUAAGCCCAAAGUGAGGCACAAAGUAACACAUGCCUUCACAGCCGACCAGCUGAGUCUAGCUACUCAGUCAUGUCCAGCUGACCAGCUGAAGAAGAAGUAUCUUCACUUGCAGAAAGCCCAGAUUGAAGGAUUCAACCAGGUCCAACCUUUGGUGCUGAUUGGCUCAGAUAAUGCUCAUCUCAUCACCCCAUCCGUCCUGUCCUUCGGGGUCGUCCAAAGGGCCGGUAGCCGUCUGCACCAAGCUCGGAUGGGCCAUCCAGGGGCCGGCCAGUAGUAUGCCUACAUCUGAGGGGACCUGCAGUGCCUGAACAUGUGCCUUUCUCCUGCAGAGGCCCUGCAUCAAGAUGU